CGCCGCGCGCGGGGCUCCUCAGCGGACCCCCAGCUCGGGCGGCCCGCGCCUUGCUCGUCCGCUCUCUCGUUCGCCUUUUGUUCCGGCGUGCGAGGAGAUGGGCCGACCGGGGAGCUCAGGCGUGUGUGUGUAAAUCAGGAGGCGUUUGGCUUGGAGCCAUUUUUUUUUUUUCUUCUUCUUCUUCUUCUUCUUCUUCUUAAUUGUGGAGACAGGAAAAAUCCCUUCCAACGGUUUUCCCAGGGAGACUGGCUUCGUCGGCCCGGCCUCCCCGCGGUCCCUAGUCUAUCUGCCGGCCUCGGGGUCCCGGGCGGGUCUCCUUUCCCUCUUUCUCCUCCCUGCCCUCCCCACCUUGAGUCAAGCCCCGCCAGCCAGCGGGUAAGCGGGGUGUCUGUCUGCAAAGCGGCCCGGUCACCUGUCGUGGCAGCUGCAUGGAAAUCCCGGCGCUCCUGCUGUCUGGAGCCUGUGCGGUUUCCUCUGGCAAAUCACGGAGAUUCCGCUCCCAGCGCCAACCCUUCCUCUGCGCCCCUGCGCCCUCCUAACCCAGCUCCUGGUGCUGACGCGAAGUUUCAUCGUUUGGGGGCAAUUAGCAAGGAGGUCCCCACUACUUUCUGUGGAGGCACCGCUUGGUUGGGAAGGUCGGAUUCAGGAAGGUUUUGAAUGGCUCUUGUGACCAUGGAUAAGGGGAUUACAGUUAAAGAGAUUGCAUGAAUCUCAGACCAGACUUUGAACAGACUUUUAAAUAAGUUUGAGACUUACUGAGAUAGACUGUGGGGACUUUUGAAGUUGGACUGAAUGUAGUUUUGCAUUAUGAUAUGGCUACAUACCUAUGGGGGCCAGGGUGGUGGUUUGAAAGAAAAUGGUCCCCGUAGGGAGUGACACUAUUAGGAGGUGUAGCUUUGUUGGAAUAGCUUUGUUGGUGUGACCUUGUUGGAGGAAGUGUGUUACUGUGGGGGCAGGCUCUGUGGUCUACUAUGCUCAAGCUGCACCCAGUGUGGAAGGCAGUUCACCCCCUGAUGCCUACAGAUCAAGAUGUAGAACUCUUAGCUCCUUCCGAAGCACCAUGUCUGCCUGUGUGCUGCCAUGUCCUGCCAUGAUAAAAAUGGACUAAACCUUGGAAACUGUAAGUCACCUCAAUUAAAUGUUUUUUCUUUAUAAGAGUUGCCAUGGCUAUGGAUGUCUCUUCACAGCAUUAGAAACCCCAGCUAAGGCAACUAGCAUCAGAUGACAAAUGUAAAAACUGCAAUUACUUUUGCACCAAAUUAAUGAAUUUCUGGGAAAACUUAUGCAUGAUGUAGAAAGUGGCCACUCCCAUAGUAACUGUAACAGAACAAUGCUCUUAGGUGAGGUCAAAGAGGUCUAAUAGAAGGAGUCAUUUUGCUACAGAUGUAAAGUUAUUUAACUUGGGAAAAUACCUGACCCUUGCAUUAAAAAUUAAAAUGAAGCCAUGUGUGGUGCCUGUAAUCUCAGCAUUGGGGAAGUUGACACAGGACAGUCUUGAGUUCCAGCCCAGCCCAGGCCACAUAGUUAUUGAGGCCAGUUUUGGAUAUGUAAUGAGAUCCUGUUUCAAAACACCAGAGAGUUUCAGGGAUGACUCAACAAUUAAGAGCACUUGCUGCUUUUGCAGAGGACUUGUAAGUAGUUUCCAGCACCCACAUUUCGGUUCAUAGCCAUCUGUUAAUUCUAGUUCCAAGGAUUCAGUCUCUUUCUUCUGGCCUCUGGGCACUGCACCAUGUGGUACACAUACAUAAAACAUACUUUAAAAAGCAAAAUAUUUAAAAGAAAAAAUGAAAAACAUACCAAGUAGAGUGUGUAAAGCUGACGUGAAAGAAUUCCUUGAGCUCAAGAGUUUGAGACCAGUCUGGGAAACUUGUGGCAGAAAAAAACACCAACCAGCCAACCAACAAGUAAAACCAAAACUGCAGUAAGAUGAAAAACUAAGUAAAAUGCCAC
rnacentral:lncRNA from 1 species